CCCUCACUAGCAUGUUGAUGCCUUCCUCGCAUGAUGGAUUGUUGGUUUAGGUUGAGUUUUCUCCCUUUGAUAACAAAAGACCUUAAGGCUUUUGAUUAAAAUCAAUUCACCAAUCUUUGAAAUUUUUUACCAUGAACUACGAUGUUUUGAUCCUCCUUUGUAAUGGUACGUAGGCAAUGGGUUCAUCCACUCAAACAAUAAAAUUUAUAAAUAUAAUCUAUUCUCUUCUCAUCCCUCCAAUCUUUUGCACAAAUCUUUUCACAAAUACCAAUCUACAACACAUAUUUGCAAAAAGGGUUCCCUUAGAGUACUAAGGAUGUUUUGGGUGCGUAAAACCUUCCCAUUUC
rnacentral:lncRNA from 1 species